rnacentral:rRNA from 1 species
AGUGAACGCUGGCGGUAGGCCUAAUACAUGCAAGUCGAACGGCCGCACAGUAAGCGCUUGCUCCUACGGGUGGCGAGUGGCGGACGGGUGAGGCAUACAUCGGCAUCUACUAUUUCGUGGGGGACUACGUAGGGCCACUUCUGAUACUACCGCAUACGAUCUACGGGUGAAUGCAGGAGAUAUUCGCACUCUGCGUGACUGUUUGAGAUGAUGUCGGAUUAGCUAGUUGGCGGGGUAAAGGCCCACCAAGGCGACGAUCCGUAGCUGGUCUGAGAGGAUGAUCAGCCACACUGGAACUGAGACACGGUCCAGACUCCUACGGGAGGCAGCAGUGGGGAAUAUUGGACAAUGGGCGCAAGCCUGAUCCAGCCAUACCGCGUGGGUGAAGAAGGCCUUCGGGUUGUAAAGCCCUUUUGUUGGGAAAGAAAAGCAGCAGGUGAAUACCCCGCUGUUCUGACGGUACCCAAAGAGUAAGCACCGGCUAACUUCGUG